rnacentral:rRNA from 1 species
AUUGAACGCUGGCGGCAUGCCUUACACAUGCAAGUCGAACGGCAGCACGGGGCAACCUGGUGGCGAGUGGCGAACGGGUGAGUAAUGCAUCGGAACGUACCUUUCAGUGGGGGAUAACGUAGCGAAAGUUACGCUAAUACCGCAUAUUCUGUGAGCAGGAAAGCAGGGGAUCGCAAGACCUUGCGCUGAUUGAGCGGCCGAUGUCAGAUUAGCUAGUUGGUGAGGUAAAGGCUCACCAAGGCGACGAUCUGUAGCGGGUCUGAGAGGAUGAUCCGCCACACUGGAACUGAGACACGGUCCAGACUCCUACGGGAGGCAGCAGUGGGGAAUUUUGGACAAUGGGGGCAACCCUGAUCCAGCCAUGCCGCGUGAGUGAAGAAGGCCUUCGGGUUGUAAACCUCUUUCAGGAGGGACGAAGCCACUCGGGUUAAUAGCCCAGAGGGUGACGGUACCUCCAGAAGAAGCCCCGGCUAACUACGUGCCAGCCGCCGCCGUAAGAC